GACUCUGCCGAAUUGCUUCUCUGCAUUGCUUUGAAGGCUGACUCGAAUUUGCAAAUCCUUGCAUUGCCAGUCAUCUUUGUCCCUCGCUCUCGUUUUUUCAAUUAUUAGAGAUUUCUUUGAAGUGGGAAA